AUUGAACGCUGGCGGCAGGCCUAACACAUGCAAGUCGAACGAGCGGCGGACGGGUGAGUAAUGUCUGGGGACUGCCCGAUAGAGGGGGAUAACAACUGGAAACGGUAGCUAAUACCGCAUACUAUCGGAGUGCCCACAUGGGAUUAGCUAGUAGGUGAGGUAAUGGCUCACCUAGGCGACGAUCCCUAGCUGGUCUGAGAGGAUGAUCAGACACACGGGAACUGAGACACGGCCCAGACUCCUACGGAGGCAGCAGUGGGGAAUAUUGCACAAUGGGCGCAAGCCUGAUGCAGCCAUGCCGCGUGUAUGAAGAAGGCCUUAGGGUUGUAAAGUACUUUCAGUCGGGAGGCGUUACCGACAGAAGAAGCACCGGCUAACUCCGUGCCAGCAGCCGCGGUAAUAC
rnacentral:rRNA from 1 species